UAUACUUGUGUGUGUGUUUGCUUAAUUGUGGACAAAGACUAAAAGUAGGUAUAAAAGCAAAACCCUCCUUUGCAUUCAUGAACUCUUUGUUCAGUAUGUUCAGAUACAAAAAAAGGGGAAAU